rnacentral:rRNA from 1 species
AUACCAGCCCCGCGAGUGGUCGGGAUGUUUACUGGGCCUAAAGCAUCCGUAGCCGGCCCGGUAAGUCCUCCUUGAAAUCCUCGGGCUCAACCCGAGGGCUGGGGAGGAUACUGCCGGGCUAGGGGGCGGGAGAGGCCGAGAGUACUCCCGGGGUAGGGGCGAAAUCCUGUAAUCCCGGGAGGACUACCAGUGGCGAAGGCGCUCGGCUGGAACGCGCCCGACGGUGAGGGAUGAAAGCUGGGGGAGCAAAGGGGAUUAGAAACCCUAGUAGUCC